rnacentral:rRNA from 1 species
GACGAACGCUGGCGGCGUGCCUAAUACAGGCAAGUAGAACGCAGUUGCGAACGGGUGAGUAACGCGUAUGUAACUGCAUCAAAGCGGGGGAUAACUAUUGGAAACGGUAGCUAAUACCGCAUACUGUGAAAUGGACCUGAGUUGUAGUAGCUAGUUGGUGAGGUAAAGGAUAGCCAAGGCGACGAUACAUAGCCUACCUGAGAGGGUCAUCGGCAACACUGGGACUGAGACACGGUCUAGACUCCUCCGGGAGGCAGCAGUGGGGAAUAUUGGACAAUGGGCGAAAGCCGUAUCCAGCCAGGCCGCUUGUGUGAAGAAGGUCUUCGGAUUGUAAAGCACUGUAAGUUGGGAGGCGUUCCCAACAUAAUAAGCACCGGCUAACUUCGUGCCAGCCGCCGCGGUAAUAC